rnacentral:rRNA from 1 species
UACGUAGGGCGCAAGCGUUGUCCGGAAUUAUUUGGGCGUAAAGAGCUCGUAGGCGGUCUGUCGCGUCGGCUGUGAAAAACCCGGGGCUCAACCCCGGGCCUGCAGUCGAUACGGGCAGACUAGAGUGUGGUAGGGGAGACUGGAAUUCCUGGUGUAGCGGUGGAAUGCGCAGAUAUCAGGAGGAACACCGGUGGCGAAGGCAGGUUACUACUGGUUUAUUGACGCUGAUGGACGAAAGCGUGGGUAGCGAACAGG